GUUGAGCGGUAUAAAACGAGAGAGAUUACAGAGAACAUUAUUUUCUUCAGUGCAAAAGAUUGUGUGCUCUUUGUUUUAUACAGUAGCACAUUUAUACGUUGGGAUACUUCUUUGCAUUUAUUGUAUGGCUGGAUUGGAAAAUUGCAAUGCAAUUCACAUUCAGUAAUGGCAUUAACAUACCUUCCGGAUGCAUGUAAAAAGCAUUCAAUGACCUCAGUUUUAAUUAUGGCCUUUAAGAAGCCGUUUGAGUUUAAAAACACUAACUUUAAUUUCAUGUCAUAGAGAGAGAGAGAGAGAGAGAGAGAGAGAGAGAGAGAGAGAGAGAAA